AUCGCUUCUCGGCCUUUUGGCUAAGAUCAAGUGUAGAAAGUUGAUAUUAUAAGAGUGAUAUAAAAAUAAACUCCUUAGAAUAUUUUUUAUUAAAUUGACCAUCUGAUUUCCCCAGAACUUUUGGAAAGUUUAAUGUGAUCAUC
ensembl:snRNA U2 U2 spliceosomal RNA